AAAGCAUUUGGGUCGUCGGUCUACUGAACAAUAUCGCCCACUCAGUGGAAGAUCUUCCCAUUGUCGU
rnacentral:pre_miRNA from 1 species